rnacentral:rRNA from 1 species
UACGAAGGGGGCUAGCGUUGCUCGGAAUCACUGGGCGUAAAGGGUGCGUAGGCGGGUCUUUAAGUCAGGGGUGAAAUCCUGGAGCUCAACUCCAGAACUGCCUUUGAUACUGAAGAUCUUGAGUUCGGGAGAGGUGAGUGGAACUGCGAGUGUAGAGGUGAAAUUCGUAGAUAUUCGCAAGAACACCAGUGGCGAAGGCGGCUCACUGGCCCGAUACUGACGCUGAGGCACGAAAGCGUGGGGAAGCAAACAGGGAUUAAGAAACCCCGUG